CACUCCUUCUUUCUCCCGCCCGCCCUUUCUUCCUUCUCUGCUGUGGUUAACCCUAAUUUCUGGAGAUCUCCAAUCGAAAUCUUCCAUAGUUCCAUCCACCUUCGAUUAACGAUGCUAGCUUGUCAGAGCGGCGGAUACGUUCUCGGGUAGCGCGUGCACGGCGACUCCGAGCUUCGAUCGGGGGCAGGGCAGGACCGGCAGCUUCAAGGAUCUGUGGAUGUACCAGAGGUUAUCGAAUUGGGCCUCCGAGUAGAGCUAGAUCCUCGAACAGGACGUCCAAAGCUUGUAAACUGCCCUCGAUCAUGAUUCUUGCUUAUGCUUAGAGAAGUGAAGUAAGGAAUUGUUCACUGGAAUUGAUUCCUGUUGUUAUCGGAUCUGAAAUGGUCAAGUCCUGAUGUAUCUUGAGUACGAGCAGAAUAAAAAUUGAUGAGGGUGAACUGAUGUUCGGACACUGUUUGGCAGUAAAAGGCCUCUGUAGUUCUUGGUGGCUCUAGGCGGCCCUGGCCUGCUCAACACUGGACUUGCGAGCUCUAUCGGGUCUCUCACUCAUUGACAUGAAAGAAUUUUUCUCCAAGUUCGAGAGAGAUGGCCGAACUCGCAUUGGAUCUAUAUUGUAAUUGUGCUUCUGUUAUUUAUGCAUAACCAUCUAAGAAGAUUGGCUACGGGUUCUUUCCAUUUUCUAUACCAUAUAACUGUGAUCGAACUCUCAUGGUCAUUCCAGUGAAAAAUCUCUGGUCUCGUUCCAUGGAUUAAGCCAUAAUUUUAACUUGCGUUCUCUUGGUCGUGGAGAUGAUGGUGAUGAAGAAAGUGGAAGCGUUCAAAUUGGCGACGAAGAUGCAAUGCGCACACAAGAGCAUGCCACGGUUGAUGACUUGGAGCUUUCUGAAGAAGAUGAGUUUGAUGAUGAUGAUGUUGGUAAUGAUGAAGAUUUGGAUGAGAUAUGAUUUGUUUGUUCAUUUCAUGUUAUGACUUAUGUUAUUAACAUUUUAUUUCGGGAGUUUAAGUUAUGAUUUGCACCUUGAAUUUCGAUAAUUUGUAACGAUAUUUUGUGUUUUAUGUCUUAUUGUUGAUUUUUUGGUUUGUGGUU